GAAUUGAUGAAAAAGUGUUGUGAGUGUUGGUGUUGUCCAGAUAUAAAAAAAAGAGCAGCUGCCAGAUGAAUGUACUUUCGAGAUGUAAACCAUCACAAAUGAUGCCUGUUUGUAUUUACCAGUGUUCAAAAAGUGAUCAAAUUUGAUGUGGGAUGUUUCAAAACAAAUCUUCAAAUUGACAAUGGCAAAAAGCAAGUGGAAAGCAAGUGGAAAUUGAAUAUUCAGUUGAUGAAAA
rnacentral:lncRNA from 1 species